AUUGAACGCUGGCGGCAUGCCUUACACAUGCAAGUCGAACGGCAGCACGCGUGCUUGCUCCUGGUGGCGAGUGGCGAACGGGUGAGUAAUACAUCGGAACAUGUCCUGUAGUGGGGGAUAGCCCGGCGAAAGCCGGAUUAAUACCGCAUACGAUCCACGGAUGAAAGCGGGGGACCUUCGGGCCUCGCGCUAUAGGGUUGGCCGAUGGCUGAUUAGCUAGUUGGUGGGGUAAAGGCCUACCAAGGCGACGAUCAGUAGCUGGUCUGAGAGGACGACCAGCGGCACUGGGAGUGAGACGGGGCCAAGGGUCCUAAGGGAGGCAGCAGUGGGGAAUGUUGGACAAUGGGGGAAAGCCUGAUACAGUAAUGCCGCGUGUGUGAAGAAGGCGUUCGGGUUGUAAAGCACUUUUGUCCGGAAAGAAAUCCUUGACUCUAAUACAGUCGGGGGAUGACGGUACCGGAAGAAUAAGCACCGGCUAACUACGUG
rnacentral:rRNA from 1 species